rnacentral:rRNA from 1 species
UACAGAGGGGGCAAGCGUUGUUCGGAAUUACUGGGCGUAAAGGGCGCGUAGGCGGCCUUCUAAGUCGAACGUGAAAUCCCCGGGCUCAACCCGGGAACUGCGUCCGAUACUGGAAGGCUUGAAUCCGGGAGAGGGAUGCGGAAUUCCAGGUGUAGCGGUGAAAUGCGUAGAUAUCUGGAGGAACACCGGUGGCGAAGGCGAGUCCCUGGACAACUCCUGACACUGAUGCACGAAAGCUAGGGGAGCAAACAGG